GGGGAUUUAGCUCAGCGGCAUAAGCGUCUGCCUUACAAGCAGACAGUCUUUGAUCCCCG
rnacentral:tRNA from 1 species